GACGAACCGUGCGACCGUUGUUCGGAAUCACUGGGCUUAAAGGGCGCGUAGGCGGGCUGCCAAGUCUGGGGUGAAAUCCCACGGCUCAACCGUGGAACUGCCUCGGAUACUGGCGACCUCGAGGGGGGUAGGGGCGUGCGGAACUGUGGGUGGAGCGGUGAAAUGCGUUGAUAUCCACAGGAACUCCGGUGGCGAAGGCGGCACGCUGGACCUCUUCUGACGCUGAGGCGCGAAAGCCAGGGGAGCAAACGGG
rnacentral:rRNA from 1 species